GACGACGCUGGCGGCGUGGAUUAGGCAUGCAAGUCGAACGGUAUCAUCCUUCGGGGUGAGAGAGUGGCGAACUGGUGAGUAACACGUAGGUUAUCUACCCUCAAGACGGGGACAACCCAGGGAAACUUGGGCUAAUACCGGAUGUGAGCAACUUUUAGUGUUUGAAAGGUGGCGUAAGCUGUCGCUUGGGGAUGAGCCUGCGUCCUAUUAGUUAGUUGGUGAGGUAACGGCUCACCUAGGCAAUGAUAGGUAGGCGGCCUUAACGGGUGGUCGCCCACACUGGGAUUGAGAUACGGCCCAGACUCCUACGGGAGGCAGCAGUCGAGAAUAGUCUACAAUGGUCGGAAGACUGAUAGUGCGACGCCGCGUGAACGAUGAAUCCCUUCGGGGUGUAAAGUUCUUUUAUAUGUGAGCAGUGCUUCUUAUAUUAACAGUAUGGGGAGAGAGAUAUUAGCAUAUGAAUAAGCAACGGCUAACUCCGUG
rnacentral:rRNA from 1 species